rnacentral:lncRNA from 1 species
AUUCAAAGAAACUUUCAUAAAAGCCUUGUAAAAUAAAAAAUUUUCACUGAAAAUUAUAGGAACCAUCAUCAUAGAUUAGUAUUUUUAAUAAGAAAUAUAAAUAAACUACAAAAAUUGCAUUAAUACAAAUAGGAUCCACAAAUUACAGCUUAAAAAUUUGCUGGUUUGUCACCACUUUCAUUGACGUGAUAUUGUGUCAGUAGCUUGUGACAGUAAAUGACAUUGGACGUCAUCACCUCAAUAGCAAUCAACAGGAUAAAAUAUGCUUGUAUUAUUAUUGGUUUCAGCAAUAAGAUCUUUGACAAAGUGGCUUUUAAAAUCAAAAACUUUAUUGUAAUAAAUGUAAGCAUAUUGUAUGACUUCAUGGGGAACAUUAUAAAGUAUAUUAAAGAUAGCAUAACGUUAAGAUUACAGAACAAUAGAAUUCUAAUAUUUUUAGCUGAUCUGUAAUUAAUAGGAAAUCAAGAAAUUGUUUUGAAUAUAGUGAAGUAUAUAAUAUUCC